GUUCCCUGCCCCCUUGGGGAGCAGUUUGCAGGCCCCGCUCCAGGGCUCCGGGGCUUCCCCUCGGUGCCAGCAGAUGGCAAUCCCUGCCCAGGCACUGCUCGGGCUCCUCCGGAGCUCCCCCUUCCCUGCCUGCCCAGCUCCCGAGGGUCCGGAGGUGCUCCUGGAAGCGCAGCUGGGAAUCCACCCCCAGCCCCCGCCCACGACGUGACGACCCAGAUCCAGCACCUGGAGCUUCCAGCAGCUCCCAGGAAAAGGGACCGUGGGCAAAAUCUCCUGGGAUUUUUAUUAGGGAUUGUGUGAGUCUGACUUUGAUCACUCUGCGUGGAGGAGCUGGAAAAGUGGGAUCUCCUGGAACAGGUGGCAGAAGAACAGCACAGGCACUGAGCUCUGGAGGGAGAGGGUGCAGGAGGAACCAGGAGUAGCAAAAAGGGGAAGACCAGUUAAAAGACAGCAUUUUCUGUCUUGGAGCCCGAGAAGGAAAUUGUUACUCUUAAGAGCCUUAUUGCUUAUUAAUGGAGGUAAUUAAAUGGCUCUAAGCUGAGGCCAGC